CCUACGGGAGGCUGCAGUGAGGAAUAUUGGUCAAUGGACGAGAGUCUGAACCAGCCAAGUAGCGUGAAGGAUGACUGCCCUAUGGGUUGUAAACUUCUUUUAUAAAGGAAUAAAACGAGGCACGUGUGCCUUUUUGCAUGUACUUUAUGAAUAAGGAUCGGCUAACUCCGUGCCAGCAGCCGCGGUAAUACGGAGGAUCCGAGCGUUAUCCGGAUGUAUUGGGUUUAAAGGGAGCGUAGAUGGGUUGUUAAGUCAGUUGUGAAAGUUUGCGGCUCAACCGUAAAAUUGCAAUUGAUACUGGCAGUCUUGAGUACAGUUGAGGUAGGCGGAAUUCGUGGUGUAGCGGUGAAAUGCUUAGAUAUCACGAAGAACCCCGAUUGCGAAGGCAGCUUACUAAACUGUGACUGACAUUGAUGCUCGAAAGUGUGGGUAUCAAACAGGAUUAGAUACCCUUGUAGUC
rnacentral:rRNA from 1 species